GAAAUCCUACGGGAGGCAGCAGUGAGGAAUAUUGGUCAAUGGUCGGGAGACUGAACCAGCCAAGCCGCGUGAGGGAUGAAGGUACAGAGUAUCGUAAACCUCUUUUGUCAGGGAACAAAGGCGGGGACGCGUCCCCGGAUGAGUGUACCUUAAGAAAAAGCAUCGGCUAACUCCGUGCCAGCAGCCGCGGUAAUACGGAGGAUGCGUGCGUUAUCCGGAUUUAUUGGGUUUAAUGGU
rnacentral:rRNA from 1 species